rnacentral:rRNA from 1 species
UUGUUCCGCCAGGAGCACCGCUGAGUAGCUACGUUUGGAAAGGAUAAGCACUGAAAGCAUAUAAGUGCGAAACCUGCCUCAAGAUGAGACAUCUUUUAAGGGUCGUUGGAGAUGACAACGUUGAUAGGCUAUAGGUGUAAAGGCAGCAAUGUCAUAGCCGAGUAGUACUAAUUACCCGUAGAUUUAUUGCCU